GCCAGACUCCUACGGGAGGCAGCAGUGAGGAAUAUUGGUCAAUGGGCUUACGCCUGAACCAGCCAAGUCGCGUGAGGGAAGACUGCCCUAUGGGUUGUAAACCUCUUUUGUCAGGGAGCAACGCCGGCUACGUGUAGCCGGACUGAGAGUACCUGAAGAAAAAGCAUCGGCUAACUCCGUGCCAGCAGCCGCGGUAAUACGGAGGAUGCGAGCGUUAUCCGGAUUUAUUGGGUUUAAAGGGUGCGUAGGCGGAAUGCCAAGUCAGCGGUAAAAUCGCGGGGCUCAACCUCGCUCCGCCGUUGAAACUGGCGCGCUUGAGUUCAGGCGAGGUAGGCGGAAUUCGUGGUGUAGCGGUGAAAUGCAUAGAUAUCACGAAGAACUCCGAUUGCGAAGGCAGCUUACCAGUCUGCGACUGACGCUCAGGCACGAAAGUGUGGGUAUCGAGCAGGAUUAGAUACCCCCGUAUG
rnacentral:rRNA from 1 species